rnacentral:tRNA from 1 species
GGCCUUGUAGCUCAGCCGGUAAAACAUACGGUGUACAAUAAGUGUAGGCAGUGGCCAUACGUGGGUUCGAAUCCCACCGAGGCUA